rnacentral:rRNA from 1 species
CGAACGGGUGAGUAAUGCGUGACCAACCUGCCCCAUGCUCCAGAAUAGCUCUUGGAAACGGGUGGUAAUGCUGGAUGCUCCAACUUGACGCAUGUCUUGUUGGGAAAGUGUUUAGUGGCAUGGGAUGGGGUCGCGUCCUAUCAGCUUGUAGGCGGGUAAUGGCCCACCUAGGCUUCGACGGGUAGCCGGCCUGAGAGGGCGGACGGCCACAUUGGGACUGAGAUACGGCCCAGACUCCUACGGGAGGCAGCAGCC